rnacentral:lncRNA from 1 species
AGCGUCGUAGGGAAUACCUUGCACAUCAAGGCAUCCGAUAGGGUCUGCAGCUCCAUGAAGGUCUUGUAGUUAAGGACAUGCUCCCUUGGGUUUCCAGCUCCGUCGUAUGCUGCCAUAGAUGGCAUCAUGAACUUUUUGGGGAUGGUCUCUUGCUGCACCCAUCUUGAGAAGGGCGAGGAUGCAGGCAAGAGGGUCUGACUAUGAUCUUUUGCUCCCAACUCGACCAGGAGCUGUUCUCUCAUCUUCUGUAGUUUUUGAUCUACAUCCUCUUCUUCUUGCCUAGGUCUUUUCCCCACGCGAUAUUCCUCUUUCCAUUCAU